UACCUAACAGGGUUCAAGUUGGGAGUCUGUUGCCACUCAGAUUGCUGUUCAGCCAACUGCUCAGAUCGCAGUAGCACGUUACUGCCGUGAUUCUGAAUGAAGCGGACAGGCGAGGUGCUAGCUGCAUGGGUAAGGGGGAGUCUUCACAGACGUCAUCCCAGAAUGCAGUGGAACCACCAGAUGGCACCAAAGCUUUGAAGGCAGUGAAAUGCUACUCGUGUGGACGUCUAGGCCAUAUGACGAGGGAAUGCAGAUUUCCCAGGGCCAAGACAGAGCAGCGCAGCGAAAGCUCAUCGCGUGGAAAAGGCAAAGGUCCGGUGUCCAGGACAACGCAGCACAAGGCAAUGGUCUCACGCUUCACUCCAAAGGUUGCAAAGGUCCAGAAGAUGUCUAGAUCUUUCUUCAUGGUGGAUACGAGCGCAACGCACCACUUAUGCAACGACAAGCGACUGUUCAUGUCUUUUACACCGCAGGAAGGUGCGAUUCACCAGGCGGAUGACCACACGAUCCCCAGUCAAGGCUACGGAACUGUUGUUCUUCACAGUUUGGACUUAUCGAUACAAGAUGUUCUCUACGUUCCAGAUGCUUCACACAAUCUACUCAGUGUUGCGCAGCUGAAUGAACGGAAAAUUGACGUUUCCGUCAAGAAUAAGAAGUGCACCAUCACAAAGAAAAAUGAUUAUGUAUUGCAUGCUGAAUAUGUUGAUCGUUUGUUUGUUUUGUAUUAUGAUGAUGAUGUGCAGGAUGAAACUUGUUGCAUUGCAGGUUCUAACAAAAGUUUGCAUGCAGGAUGUAUUCAUGAUUUUCACAGGAAAUUUGGUCAUUUGCAUUUUGAGGCAGUAUAUAAAAUGCCUGCCUUGGUUGAAGGUAUGACUAUUAAACCCUGCAGGUACCACAUGAAGUGUAAGGCAUGCGCAGCAAACAAAGUGAAAAUGGCUCUGAAAGGUAAGGUGUCUAGUAGGCAAGCUACAGAACCAUACCAGGUAGUACAUGCUGAUUUGGUUGGUCCACUAUCGCCCUCUUUGGGUGGACACAGGUACUUCAUGGUACUCAGUGAUGCAUUUUCCAGGUAUAUUUAUGUGUACAAUCUUGAGCAGAAAUCAGAGGCUUUUCCAAGGUUCAAGGAAUUCUGUGCUUGGUUGGAAAAUGUGCAUGGUAAGAAGAUAAAGACUCUUUUCACUGAUCGCGGGGGGGGCGGGAAUUCACUUCUCAGCAGUUUGAAGCUUUUCUGACUGAGAAAGGAAUUCAGCACGAUUUGUCUAAUCCUCGCUCGCCAUGGCAGAACGGACUUUGUGAGAGAGCAAAUCAGACAUUGCUUCAAGGUCUAAAAACCUUGCUGCAUGAUGCCAAUCUUCCAGAGAGUUAUUGGGCGGAAUCUUUGGCGUGUUUUGUUUACAGUUAUAAUCGCAGGUUAUCUUCAGCGAUUGGUUGUUCCCCCUAUGAGAAGAUGUUUGGCAAGAAACCAUACAUCAAACACAUGAGAGUUUUUGGUUUUGACAUGUGGGUUCACACACCACUAAGCUCCAAGUUAGGCAAGCGUGGAUUGCAUGGUAUCUUUCUUGGGUAUCAGAAAGGUUCUUACAGAAUAAUGAUGACUGACUCUAAGACAAUUAGGCUCACAAGAAGUGUUGAGUACAAUGCCAAGUGGGGGGAGAAUGUGGGAAUUUUCCAAUGUUAUCCUGAUGACAGUGAUGAGACUGAGAAUAGGCAACAGCCACAGCAGCAGCAACAGCCACAGCUGCGGCAACAACCCACACCCACUGAUGAAGGUCCUGAUUCUGAGUCUGAGACUGAAUCGGGUGAUUCAGAGGAUUUCAAGAGUGUGAAAGCCUCUAUGCGACCCUCUGAAAGCUCUGAUCAAGAAUUGGAGGAACCAUUGUUCACAAUAGGUCAUUUUUCUCCUAAGAAGGAAGAGGAGAGUGUUGAAGACCUACGGCUAAUUCGCAGGUCUCAAAGAGCCACAAAGGGCAGACCUCCAAAGAGAUUUGCUGAUGAAUUUGCUAAGACAGCAGUAGCAGCUGUUAAAAGCUCCAAGAAGGUAUUUGAACCUUCAAGUUUCCAAGAAAUCCAGGAUUUGGAUUCAAAGGAUGCUGAGCCAUGGUUAAAUGCCAUGAAGGCUGAGCUUGAUUCCUUAGAGAGGAACAAAACAUGGGAGCUAGUUCCAGUAGUUCCAGGAAUGAAACUGCUUGGAAGCAAAUGGGUCUUCAAAGUGAAGACUGAUCAAAAUGGCAAGAUAGUCAGACACAAAGGCAGAUUGGAAGCCAGAGGUUUUUCACAGGUACCAGGUGAAGACUAUCACGAGACCUACUCGCCCACCAUGAGGUAUGAGAGCAUUAGGCUUAUGCUCAAACUUGCUGCAGAAGAGAAUCUUCACUUAAGUCACCACGACGUGAAUACAGCGUUUUUGUACGGAUCUCUAGGUGAAUCUCUUUAUAUGCUUCCACCUGAUGGCGUACAGGUAAAACAGGGAUUUGUUUGUUCUCUGAAGAAGUCUCUUUAUGGUCUCAAACAAAAUGCACGGUGUUGGCACACAAAACUCACUGAAGUAUUGUUUUCUCUAGGUUUUCAGCAAAGAAAAGCUGAUCCAUGUGUAUUUGUCAAAGAGGAGGAGCAAAAGAAGCUGUAUUGCUUGUUUUAUGUUGAUGAUAUUCUGUUCUUUUGGAAAGAUGUCACAAUGUACAAUAACGCCCUAGCUCAACUGAAAGAGCACUUUGACAUGAAAGAUCUUGGUGAGGUAAACAACUACCUAUCCCUGGAAAUAGAAAGAGGUCAAGAUGGUAACAUUCUAGUACACCAGUCACGAAAAAUUGCUGAUGUGUUAAGCAAACUAAACCUGAUGGAUGCUAACCCUGUAGACACACCGAUGGCAACAGGUUAUCAGGUAGAUGACACUGAAGAAGCAUUUUCUGACACUACACUGUACAGAAGUGUGCUAGGCAAACUAAACUUCAUUGCCAGAUGUUCAAGACCUGACAUUGCUGUUAGCUGUAAUUUACUAAGCAGACAAGUCAACAAUCCUACUGUUAAGGAUUGGAAAGCUCUGAAACGCAUAGCUCACUAUUUGAAAGGCACUAUGCAUUACAGACUAAGAUUUAACAAUCAGAAGUCUGGUGGUCUUGAGAUAUUUGCAGAUGCAAGUUUUGGAAGUGACACUACAGACAGGAAAAGCACGUCUGGAGUUUGCUAUAUGUACAAUCAGGGUCUUUUUGAUUGGUCAUGCAAGAAGCAAACAACAGUUAGCUUAAGUACUUGUGAAGCUGAACUGAAUGCACUGUCUUAUUCACUUGUGGAUUGUGAAUGGUUGUUACAGUUGUGUAAAGACAUGAGAAUUCCUGUCAAAUGUCCAAUCCAGGUUUAUCAGGACAGCAAAGCAUGUUUGGCUUUCCUGACUUCUGAAGGGUGUAAGCAAAGCACGAAGCACUUGCAAUUGAAGCUGCAACAUGCUAGAGAAUGUGUUCAGAAAGGACUUGUAAUGGUGUCCUACAUGCCAGGUAAUGAAAUUCCUGCUGAUUUAUUGUCCAAGGUUGUUCCGAAGGAUCAACACUGUACCUAUGUACAGAAAUUGGGUUUGUACUGAUAAUGUACUGACACGCUGCCCAGUGGUGUUCACAGAAAGGGGGAGGAUGUUAGUUUCUGUUUCUCACUGUGCAGCUGUGUGUUUACAUUCCAGAGACCUUGCAGUCUCACGGGAAAGGGAGACGGGAUGUGACGUUAGUGGUUUCCUGUUUCCUUUCUUCCUUUGUUCCUUUGUUCAGUUGCUCUCUGCUUUCAUAGAGAGAGGAUGUCUUUUCUGUUCUGCGUAGUUUAGAAAUAAAACUCUUUACAAUG